rnacentral:rRNA from 1 species
CCUACGGGAGGCUGCAGUGGGGAAUAUUGGACAAUGGGCGAAAGCCUGAUCCAGCCAUGCCGCGUGUGUGAAGAAGGCCUUCGGGUUGUAAAGCACUUUCAGUGGGGAAGAAAGCCUUGGGGCUAAUACCCUCGAGGAAGGACAUCACCCACAGAAGAAGCACCGGCUAACUCCGUGCCAGCAGCCGCGGUAAUACGGAGGGUGCGGGCGUUAAUCGGAAUUACUGGGCGUAAAGCGCGCGUAGGCGGUCUGAUAAGCCGGUUGUGAAAGCCCCGGGCUCAACCUGGGAACGGCAUCCGGAACUGUCAGGCUAGAGUGCAGGAGAGGAAGGUAGAAUUCCCGGUGUAGCGGUGAAAUGCGUAGAGAUCGGGAGGAAUACCAGUGGCGAAGGCGGCCUUCUGGACUGACACUGACGCUGAGGUGCGAAAGCGUGGGUAGCAAACAGGAUUAGAUACCCGUGUAGUC